rnacentral:lncRNA from 1 species
GUCUCGCGAAAUUUCUGCUUAUAUGAUUAGUGAGAUUAAAAAUUAAGAGCAUUGUAUAACAAAACAAUAUAUGGAUUUGCAGCCAAACAAUAGAAAUGUAUAACCAAACAAUAACUUAGGAAUUUUUAUCAGCCAUACUGCAUUCCACCUGAAUUUCCUCUUCUUCAUCUGAUGAAGGGACACUCAUGACCUUCUUCGCAGAUUUCUUUGCCAUCCUCUUCCUCUUAAUACCUGGAGUUUUCUUUUCAUUAAAAGGACUACCUUUAUUUUUAUUUAUUUUUCAAUUUUCGACAAUCUUCGGCCAUUAGUUUCCUCAGUGUAGCAUCGAAAUCAGGACUAGGUCUUCGUUUGGACGAAGUUUCUGCCUUUCCUGCUAACAUAAUAUUUCGUUUCAAUCAAUAAAUGUAGUAAACAGAGGCCUAAAAAAAAAUCAUGAUCCUUUCCAUAAAUGUAUCCAUCGUGAAUUCACGAUCCUUUCCAUAAAACUGUAUCCAUCAUGAAUUCAUGAUCCUUUCCAUAAAAAUACAAAUUUAAUCACGAAUUCUAUGAUUUAGAAAAAUGAAAAACAAACAAAUGCACUACCAGUAAAUCAUACCUAUUUGAUCUAGUUCAUUGGUUAUCA